GGAGAAGGCACUGUAUCAUUUUCUCCAGUAAUCUCUCCAGCUUCCAGCAUCAUCCCUCUGGUCACACUGCUCACAGAUCUCUUACGUGGUGAGAUUUCCUCUUCACUUUUGGGGGAUUUAGUGGUAGUAGCAGGAUGACCAGGUCUCCUUGGUGUUGACACAACUGCAUCCGUUUCACUUUCAGGCGAUUUAAUUGCAGCUGCAGGACUGUUGGAUCUCCUUGGUGUUGACACAACUAACCCCGUUUCACUUUUGGGGGAUUUAGUGGCAGUAGCAGGACGCCCAGGUCUCCUUGGUGUUGACACAACUGCAUCCGUUUCACUUUCAGGAGAUUUAAUUGCAGCUGCAGGACUGUUGGAUCUCCUUGGUGUUGACACAACUAACCCCAUUUCACUUUUGGGGGAUUUAGUGGCAGUAGCAGGACGCCCAGGUCUCCUUGGUGUUGACAAAACUGCCUCCGUUUCACUUUCAGGCGAUUUAAUUGCAGAUGCAGGACUGUUGGGUCUCAUUGGUGUUGAGGAAACGGCCUUAGUUUCACUUUUAGGUGAUUUAGUGGAAGCUGCAGGACGGCCUGGUCUCCUUGGUGUUGGUAAAACAGCCUCUGUUUCACUUUCAGGGGAUUUAAUGGCAGCAGCUAGACUGCUGGAUCUCCUCGGUGUUGACAAAACUUUCUUAGUUUCACUUUUAGGG